rnacentral:rRNA from 1 species
AUGGUGCAAUUGUCACAUGGGUCUGUUGUAUUCCGAUGGAACCUCCAUGAGAAUGGACAGUUCUCAGUUGAGUCCAUGUAUAGAGCGUUAAUCCAGUCUGAUGUGCCAGUUGAUAAUAACAAGAAGAUCUGGAAGAUGAAGAUACCUCUUAAGAAUAAAAUCUUUGCAUGGUAUCUUCGUCGCGGAGUCAUUCUUACUAAAGAUAACCUUAUUAAGAGGAAUUGGCAUGGAAGUUCGCAAUGUGUCUUUUGUCACCAUGAUGUGACAAUAAAACAUUUAUUCUUUCAAUGCAAAUUGGCUCGUUCUAUAUGGUCAGUCAUCAAAAUAGCUUCUGGCUUGUAUCCUCCUUAUAGUGUUGCUAAUGUAUUUGGCAACUGGUUACAUGGGAUUGAUUACAGGUUUAGAACUCUUCUUAGGGUGGGAGUGUUGGAAAUAUGCCCUAGAGGCAAUAAUAAAUGGUUAUUAUUAUAUUUCUUUGUUCAUGGUAAUUGUCCAUUAUUCAUGCUAUAA